CGACGCCGCGUGGAUGAAGAAGGCCGAAAGGUUGUAAAGUUCUUUUGUUGGGGAAGAAUAACCAUGGGAGGGAAUGCCCGUGGGAUGACAUGAACCGACGAAUAAGCCCCGGCUAACUACGUGCCAGCAGCCGCGGUAACACGUAGGGGGCGAGCGUUGUUCGGAAUUACUGGGCGUAAAGGGCAUGUAGGCGGUCUUGUAAGCUUGGCGUGAAAGACCACGGCUCAACCGUGGGAUUGCGUUGAGAACUGCGAGGCUUGAGUGACGGAGAGGGAGCUAGAAUUCCUGGUGUAGGGGUGGAAUCUGUAGAGAUCAGGAAGAAUACSUAAUGGCGAAGGCAAGCUCCUGGCCGAUGACUGACGCUGUAGGUGCGAAVUGUGUGGGGAUCAAACAGGAUUAGAUACCCUGGUAGUCCACACUGUAAACGAUGUGCACUAGGUGCUGGUACGGAUGUAUCAGU
rnacentral:rRNA from 1 species